GCCGGGGUGGUGGAAUCUGGUAGACACACGGGACUUAAAAUCCCGAGGUUUAGUGAUAAGCCGUGCCGGUUCGAGUCCGGCCCCCGGUACCA
rnacentral:tRNA from 1 species